UCCCCCAGGGGCGGGGCCAGCGCGGGCGGCACCGGCCUAGCGGGGAUCCCCGGGAAGUCGGUCUGUGUCUGAAGCCUUCCUGCCCCGCCAGCUCCUCCCCUGACGAGAUGCUUCAGCUGUCGGGUGGCUUCGGAUGUCCCUAGAGGUUCACGGCUCUCAGUCUCUCAACCCCUAAGUCACCUGAGCCACCGUGAGCAAGAGCGAAUUGUGUCAGUCCUAGACUCCGGUGUCCUGGACCCGCAGGUGUUUUGUGCCUCCGCUGGUCUCGCGCAGGACGAGCAUCUCCGUGAACAGCGCUGGAGUCUUGUCUGUUUUUCUUCUUUAAUGUUCUGAAAGAUUUCCAUCAUUCCAGGCUUCCCCCCUGGACUUUGUAAAAACCUUUCUUAAAUGCGUGUUUGAUAAAGUAAUUGGAUUAGUCUGA